CCUACGGGAGGCAGCAGUGGGGAAUAUUGCACAAUGGGGGAAACCCUGAUGCAGCGACGCCGCGUGAGUGAGGAAGUAUUUCGGUAUGUAAAGCUCUAUCAGCAGGGAAGAAAAUGACGGUACCUGACUAAGAAGCCCCGGCUAACUACGUGCCAGCAGCCGCGGUCAUACGUAGGGGGCAAGCGUUAUCCGGAUUUACUGGGUGGAAAGGGAGCGUAGACGGCUAAUCAAGUCAGAAGUGAAAACCCAGGGCUCAACCUUGGGACUGCUUUUGAAACUGAGUAGCUAGAGUGCAGGAGAGGGAAGCGGAAUUCCAAGUGUAGCGGUGAAAUGCGUAGAGAUGAGGAGGAACACCAGUGGCGAAGGCGGCUUACUGGACUGUAACUGACGUUGAGGCGCGAAAGCGUGGGGAGCAAACAGGAUUAGAUACCCGGGUAGUC
rnacentral:rRNA from 1 species